AACAAAAACAAAUGAGGGAAGCGGUUGUAGAAAGCCCAUUAACGCGCGUAAUCGGCUUUUGCUGUCACUGCAACAGUGACGACGUCUAGAUGCAGGGAGAGAUAGGAAAGCCAGAAGGUGAUACACUGAUACUGAUACUCGAUCCUUGCACAGAAGAUCAAUUUGCCAUGGUUGAGUACUUGAAUUGAUGGAUCCCCAGGCAGAAUAGAUUGAAAUGGUGAUUGCUGAACCUGAAAGGAAGCUUGUUACUGUGAGAUUUUUUAUGAGGUGAGUCCCAAUCUCUGCAAUAGCAUCUCAGCUUGUGGCUAAUCGGUAAUGUGAACUUUCUUCCUUGGUGGAUGGAAUAUAGUCCCAAAGGCCAUGAACUUCCAAAAAUGGAAGGCGUCUGUACGGUUCUGCUUGAUGUGAACCCCAAGGGCCCCCCAUAUCCCGGCUCGACAGAACAUUUAGAAUGUUGUAAACAAUGGCUCAGCAGACAGAGUCAAAUAUCAGUGCGUACACGGGAUCUGCUCACUUUGGGCAUUUAGUUUGAGCAGUUCUGAGCAGACGAAAUAGGAAGAUGCUGAGUAGGAAGCGUGUGCACACCAAAGUUUUAACCUUUUGUGCCAUUGAUAAGCCUGCAAAACAAGGUUUGAUAUGGUUGUUAAGUGUUUUUGUCCCACCACAGGAACAGGAUACAGUCAAAACUAGACAACGCUUGCCAGUCAAAAGGAACUGACGCGCAGUUGUAGUUGUGGAACAGUUCCAAUUGCCUUAAACAACCACUUCAUUGUCACUGAGGUUGUUAAACUAAAAGCUUCUAGCAAAAAGAUUAUUUUACUCCAAUCCUGAGAAUUUCUAUUUUUCUUUGAAUUGGUCAA